rnacentral:lncRNA from 1 species
UCUCAGAGUUGAGGUUUUCCACUAGGGAAUCCGACGAGAUCGCGAGCUUCGUGAUUGAGGAUUUCUAUGCGGCUUGUGGUAAUUUGUGAUGGACUAGUUGGAGCACCCGUGCAGGGUUAAAUCUUUCGGAAAGCCGUGCCCGCGGUUAUGUGGCUACGUGGAUACUUUGUUUAACACUGGUUCUAGAUAACUUGAAGUUAACUUAAUUAAAAUAUGCCAACUGUGUGCGUAACCGUGACUGUCUCUUUCGUGAGUUCUUUCUCCGAUCGAGGACACGAUGGGGUUAUGACUGACGUAGGUAGGUGUUCAGGGUCAUUCAGUUGAUCAUCCGUAGUUCACGUCCGCUAUGCGUAGAUCUUCCCCCUCUCAUUUCUUGUACUCGUAAGUUUAGCCACCAAACAUAUGC